GACUAGUGACAGAGGGGAAAGGGAGGGUGUGACUAGUGACAGAGGGAGGGAAGGGGUGACUAGUGAGUCACACCCUCCCUCUGUCACUAAUCUUCCCUUCCCUCCCUCUGUCACUAGUCACUUCCUCCCCUACCUCCGUCACUAGUCA
rnacentral:miRNA from 1 species